CAUCUCCUUUUGAAAAUGAUUUAAGGUCUGAUCUGCUCAAUGAAUUUUUAAUAGCCGCAGUAUUUUGACUGUGCAAAGGUAGCAUAAUAAUUAGUUUCUUGAUUAGGAACUGGAAUGAAUGAUUGGACAAGAAAAUUACUGUCUCUUUUUUAAAUUUAUUGAAUUUUAUUUUUAAGUGAAAAAGCUUAAAUAUCUAUAAAAGACGAGAAGACCCUAUAGAGUUUAAUAUUUUUUACAAAUAAAAAGUUAGAAUAUUAAUUUUGUACGAUUUAUUUAGUUGGGGUGAUUGAAAGAUUAGAUUAAUUCUUUUAUAAAAAAAUUGUUAAUUAACAAAUUAUGAAUCUAUUAUUUAUAAAUAUAAAAUAAAUUACCUUAGGGAUAACAGCGUAAUUUUUCUUUAAAGUUCUUAUUGUAAGGAAAGUUUGCGACCUCGAUGUUGGAUUAAAAUUAAUUUUUGGUGCAAUAACUUAAAAAUUAGGUCUGUUCGACCUUUAAAAUUUUACAUGAUCUGAGUUUAAACCGGUGUGAGCCAGGUUGGAUUCUAUCUUUAGAAAAUUUAGUAUAUUUUAGUACGAAAGGACCAAGUAUAUAUUAUAUUAAUUG
rnacentral:rRNA from 1 species